UAGGGAAUAUUGCACAAUGGGGAAGACCCUGAUGCAGCGACGCCGCGUGAAGGAAGAAGUAUCUCGGUAUGUAAACUUCUAUCAGCAGGGAAGACAAUGACGGUACCUGACUAAGAAGCCCCGGCUAACUACGCUGCCAGCAGCCGCGGUAAUACGUAGGGGCAAGCGUUAUCCGGAUUUACUGGGUGUAAAGGGAGCGUAGACGGAUCUGCAAGUCUGGAGUGAAAGCCCGGGGCUCAACCCCGGGCACUGCUUUGGAAAUCUGUGGAUCUAGAGUGCCGGAGAGGUAAGCGGAAUUUCCUAGUGUAGCGGUGAAAUGCGUAGAUAUAUGGAGAAACACCAGUGGCGAAGGCGGCUUUCUGGUCUGUAACUGACGCUGAGGCUCGAAAGCGUGGGGAGCAAACAGGAUUAGAUACCC
rnacentral:rRNA from 1 species